rnacentral:rRNA from 1 species
GAUGAACGCUAGCUACAGGCUUAACACAUGCAAGUCGAGGGGAAACGAUAGAGAAAGCUUGCUUUUUCUAGGCGUCGACCGGCGCACGGGUGAGUAACGCGUAUCCAACCUGCCCACCACUUGGGGAUAACCUUGCGAAAGUAAGACUAAUACCCAAUGAUAUCUCUAGAAGACAUCUGAAAGGGAUUAAAGAUUUACCGGUGAUGGAUGGGGAUGCGUCUGAUUAGCUUGUUGGCGGGGUAACGGCCCACCAAGGCUACGAUCAGUAGGGGUUCUGAGAGGAAGGUCCCCCACAUUGGAACUGAGACACGGUCCAAACUCCUACGGGAGGCAGCAGUGAGGAAUAUUGGUCAAUGGACGAGAGUCUGAACCAGCCAAGUAGCGUGCAGGAUGACGGCCCUAUGGGUUGUAAACUGCUUUUAUAAGGGAAUAAAGUGAGUCUCGUGAGACUUUUUGCAUGUACCUUAUGAAUAAGGACCGGCUAAUUCCGUGCCAGCCGCCGCCGUAA